rnacentral:lncRNA from 1 species
UUACCUCUUGAGCUUCCAUCUGAGUUUAACUUAACAAAAUCUUGCAAAGGUGAGGUGCAUUUGACAAUGAUAACAGAGAAUUAAAAUUUUGCAAAAUGUAAAACAUCACAAAAUUAUUUCCAUUGCAUGAAAGGGGGGAAUUUUAGGGAAUUGUCUGUGAGAAAUCCAAAUUAAUUGUUGAGAGGAAAGAAAAAUUAUACUAUGAUAAUUCAUUCUCUUGUUUUUAAACCUGUUCUUACAUCUCGCUUUCCAGAUCUGCCAAAUAAUGAUGGAUGGCAUGACUUGUAAAGCUAGUUUAAUCACAGGGUUGUGGCUUUUCAUGGUCCACCAUCUAACAAUCAUCUGUCUAAUAUUAGCAGCAUCAAAUCUAACUCCCAUUAUGUUACAGAAAUAAUAUCAGAUCUUCUUGCUAAUAUGACUAUGAAUAAAAAAAUGUUCUUCAGUUUUCUGCUCCAGGCUGGAACAACAUGAGCACAUGGAGGGAAGGUGAAUUCCAAAUCUGAUGAUAUUAACAUCAACAACAACUUUGUUCCUAAGAAGCCUCCAUAGGAAGAAAAAAAUUUUCAAAGGUUCAUGAUUGUGCCAUGUCAUCCUGUUAACUAGUGAG